GGAAACAGAACCUCGCAGAGGCUCAGGGCAACAUUGGAAAGAAGCAGGAAUGUCAGCCCAUAGCCAGAGGAUAAUGUAAUUGGCAAUACUGAACAUAAGGGUCCUGGGGAAGAGGUGAGCACACGGAUUUCUGUUGGGGCCCAGCGAGCGUCCCGCUGGCUCAGCUGCCGGCGAGUAUCGAUUCCCUUGGAAGGGAGCCCUCGGAGACCUUCUGCCCAGGGGAGCUGCAUGAAUCAGCAAUGUGCCACUGCUGCUCUGCGAGGGAUGAGAGCUGCGCCGAGCUCCUGAUGUUCCUAUGUGGCUUACAGGAAAGAAGAGAAUAAUCCAGCGUCAGGCAGUGUCAGCUAAAAAAAGAAUCCCUGAAGAAGUUUACUUCCAGGAUGGCUGGGUGGUCAGAGAUGUUCACUGAACUGACAGCCACCACUGCAUGCAGAACUGAUGGGGAUUCCUGCUCCCAUCACUUGUUUCAGCAGCACUAAAAGGCAUAAACAAGGAGUGACUGAGGGGAAAGUCAAGCGAUUCCACAGCUCAGCAGGGAGAGUCCAGCCAGAAGCGAGCUCUGUGCAUUUUUCCUUGCAGGAAGGAGCAAUGCCAGUUAUUCCCCAGUGCCAGAACAACUUUGCCUAGGAAAUGAGUGAGAUUCUGAAGUACCUCUGGUGUCUGAAUGCCUACAGGCUCUGAGAACAAACCCUGGAGUAGGGAAACCCUUACUGUAAUCAUCUUCCCAAACUCCGACAGAAGGAGCUGGUGCUCAAGGACAACUCCCGGAGUCCAUGUGGCAUCACAGGAUGGGAGUUCCCUCUACUGGAGAUGCCACAAUAGGGAACAGCUGCCUAUGGACUUUACUGUGUCAGACACCACCAUUUCACAGUGAUCCCUGUCCAAUGCAUGGAGAACCAUUGGAAGGAAUUCCUCUGCUACAGGCAAACAUUUGUCACCUUUCAUUUGCAAAUAUCAAGCUGGACUCUGCCCACUGGCUCCAAACCAGUUCUCUGCAUCAAAGGGUUUGCUCCUGGCUCCUUCACAGGGAAGAACUCAGUUUAGAUUGCCUGCAUCCACCAAAAGAACUUGGAUUCACCAGACAGCACCAGGGACCCCAGAACCUCUGGGCACUUCUUCCUUUGUGGCAAUUUUUCAUUUUGAUACUGAUUGUGAAAUCUGAAUUUCCAGAAAAGCUUGUUCAUCUUACGUCAGGAAUUAACAAAUGUGUGUAAGCUCUUUUCAGAAACCAGGCUUUGAUUUUUUGGUAUUUGUAUUUUGUUAAAUUCACAUAAAACAAUGCAUUAAGCUUAAAAGGAAUUAUCAAUAGUCAAAUGAUAUUUUCCUUUCAUCGGGGUUUUCAUUGAGAGUGGUGGAUCUUGUUGAGGGGAAGAAAACUUUCAAUGGACAUUAAAAGUAGUAGUUGAAAAUAUCUUUAAAAUUUAGGGAAAGGUGAUAAAACUGAAUUUAAUUUAAAAGACUCUUGUAUGUCAUUUGCCUCAAAUGAAGAUUGAACUCCAUGUGGAUGAACUGGAAUUGUUCAUUUAGGGAGUAUGGUUUAAAAGAUGUUAAAGAGCUGUGGCUGUAGGGUGAUGAUAGAUACUUGCAAUUAUACAGAGGGGUCUGUCACCUCUGCACUUGCAGUCAGACUCACUUUGGAAUGGAUUUUGUCUGGUUCAAACUGAAUUUUGUAUUUUCUUGUCACACAGAUGUUUAGAGUCAGAUAAUUCUCAAAAGCUAAAACUUUGGUUUAAAACUUUGACUUCAGUGGUGGCUGCCAUGACAAGAAUGUGCAAGAUACACUAUUGGAGUGAUUGGAAUUCUUCCAAAGGCAUUAAUCUCUGUAUCUUGCAGAGAGUGAAAUGGGAUUCUGUGUCAAUAUUGAUGGAUAUUGGUAAGUUUGUUUCAAUUCCUGUGAGGCUACUUGUGCUAUAAGAACAUUUCCCCUUUUAAGAUUAUGCAGAAGUGUAAGGAUCACUGUUUAGUCUGAGGAGGGUAGGAUGCUGUGUUUCAUUCUGCUGUUUAAUUGCUCUUGGGCACCUAUACUGCAUCUGUAAAUGCUACUGUAGCCAUCAUUUGUGUUCCUUUUCUACUGCUGGGCAUGAGUUACAAUAAAAUGUUGUAAGGAGCAGCUUUUGAAUUUGGGGGAUUUGGUUUGCUUCUUCUCUAUGGUUACUUGUAUAACAGUAAAGAAUAAUUGUUAAAUGGAACAGAUUUAACUCUGAACAUACAGAGAAUCAGUAAGUGGGAGUAUUGGUAGAGAACUGAAGGAACAGAUAUAACUUAGUGUGAGCAGAGUCCAUAACAAUUCCCACUGCCUGACAUCUGGUGCUAGGAACUGAAGAUCAAAAACACCUACCUGGAAUUACAGGCUCUUUCUUAGAAGUCAUGAAGACAGGCAGGAGAUUGUGCAUUUUUUGGAUGGAUAUUAGCACACUUUAAACAGGAGUAACAGGCAGGCAGUAGUAUUAACACCCAAUAUUUAAGAUCCCCUGGUGUGCUUAAAUAUUGCUUGGGUUUUUGAGCUCAUAAUAAGCUCAUCAUAAGCUUUGCUUAUCUACCUCCACCUUGACUGAUGGGAUGAAGAAGACAGAUACACUCAAUUUAGUCUCUACUCUGCUGUUAGUUC